AGUGAAAAGACGAAAAACCAAAAAAAAAUAUUAUAUGACAAAUAUGUCCCUAUGUUGGCAAUUAAAGAUGAUCACGUUGGUAAUCAUUUCAAUGACAAAUUCGUCCCUCUAUGUAAUGUAAGCUAUUUAUUAAUGAUUACAAAUGAAAGUUAACAGUCGGAUAUAUUUAUCGCACUUUUUACA
rnacentral:pre_miRNA from 1 species